AGAGUUUGAUCAUGGCUCAGAACGAACGCUGGCGGCGUGGAUUAGGCAUGCAAGUCGAACGGGAGUUACGUUGUAGCAAUACUAUGUAAAGUCUAGUGGCGUAAGGGUGAGUAACACGUGGGUAAUGUACCCGAUAGUUUGGGAUAACGUUCCGAAAGGGACGCUAAUACCGGAUGUGAUGUUAAACCGCCGGGUUUAACAAGAAAGGUGGGGACCGCAAGGCCUGCCGCUAACGGAACGGCCCGCGACCUAUUAGCUAGUUGGUGGGGUAAAGGCCUACCAAGGCGAGGAUGGGUAGCCGAACUGAGAGGUUGACCGGCCACACUGGACUGAGACACUGCCCAGACUUCUACGGAAGGCUGCAGUCGAGAAUCAUUCACAAUGGACGAAAGUCUGAUGAUGCGACGCCGCGUGCGCGAUGAAGGUCUUCGGAUUGUAAAGCGCUUUGAACAGGGAAGAAUGCCGCGUAUUUAAUAGAUAACGCGGAGGGACAGUACCUGACAAACAAGCCCCGGCUAAUUUCGUGCCAGCAGCUGC
rnacentral:rRNA from 1 species